rnacentral:rRNA from 1 species
CGCCUUGAGUUGAUCAUGGCUCAGGAUGAACGCUGGCGGCGUGCUUCAUACAUGCAAGUCGAGCGAGGGCCGCCCGGUGGCAACACCGGGUUGGUUCCUAGCGGCGAACGGGUGAGUAACACGUGGGCAACCUGCCCCCGACUCUGGGAUAAGCCCGGGAAACUGGGUCUAAUACCGGAUACGAGCUCCCACCGCAUGGUGGGAGCUGGAAAGGGUCUCCGGUCGGGGAUGGGCCCGCGGCCUAUCAGCUCGUUGGUGGGGUGACGGCCCACCAAGGCGACGACGGGUAGCCGGCCUGAGAGGGUGGACGGCCACACUGGGACUGAGACACGGCCCAGACUCCUACGGGAGGCAGCAGUAGGGAAUCUUGUCCAAUGGGCGCAAGCCUGAGACAGCGACGCCGCGUGCGGGACGAAGGCCUUCGGGUUGUAAACCGCUUUCAGCAGGGACGAAGCGAAAGUGACGGUACCUGCAGAAGAAGGUCCGGCCAACUACGUGCCAGCAGCCGCGGUAAUACGUAGGGACCGAGCGUUGUCCGGAUUUAUUGGGCGUAAAGAGCUCGUAGGCGGCCGCGCAAGUCGAUUGUGAAAACUCGGGGCUCAACCCCGAGCCUGCGUUCGAUACUGCACGGCUAGAGUCUGGUAGGGGGAUCUGGAAUUCCUGGUGUAGCGGUGGAAUGCGCAGAUAUCAGGAGGAACACCGGUGGCGAAGGCGGGAUCCUGGGCCAGUACUGACGCUGAGGAGCGAAAGC